rnacentral:rRNA from 1 species
UCUUUUGGAGAGUUUGAUCCUGGCUCAGAGUGAACGCUGGCGGCAUGGUUAAGACAUGCAAGUCGAACGAAAAGCAAGUCUUCGGAUUUGUGGAAAGUGGCGAACGGGUGCGUAACACGUGAGCAACCUGCCCUAAAGUGCGGAAUAGCCUGUCGAAAGAUGGAUUAAUGCCGCAUGUGGCUCUUCUUCGCAUGGAGAAGUAGCUAAAGCUUGUAAUGGCGCUUUAGGAUGGGCUCGCGGCCUAUCAGCUUGUUGGUAAGGUAACGGCUUACCAAGGCUAAGACGGGUAGCUGGUCUGAGAGGAUGAUCAGCCACACCGGGACUGAGACACGGCCCGGACACCUACGGGUGGCAGCAGUUUCGAAUCAUUCACAAUGGGCGAAAGCCUGAUGAUGCAAUGCCGCGUGGAGGAUGAAGGCCUUAGGGUCGUAAACUCCUGUCAUUGGGGAGCAACAAGUAGGUUCAUAGCCUAUCAUGAGUUAACCCAAAGAGGAAGAGGUGGCUAACUCCGUGCCAGCAGCCGCGGUAAUACGG